UCAGACCUGCUAAACAGACAAGACAUUAUCGACCUGCUACAAACUGAAACACAGGCAUUGAUCGACUGCUACAACUAAACACAGCAUUAUUGACCUGCUACAACUAAACACACACAUUAUCGACCUGCUACAACUAAACACAGCAUUAUCGACCUGCUACAAUUAAACACAGCAUUACCGACCUGCUACAAUUAAACACAACAUUAUCGACCUGCUACAACUAAACACAGCAUUAUCAACCUGCUACAACUAAACACAACAUUAUCGACCUGCUACAACUAAACACAACACAGAACCAAGCAUAAAUACAUUUCUUUUUUCAUUAAUUGAAAGUCCGUACCGACCCCGAGCUGGACUGGGUGGUUUUAUUCAGACCAGGGUCUGUACUGACCCCGAGCUGGACUGUGUGGUUUUAUUCAGACCAGGGUCUGUACUGACCCCGAGCUGGACUGUGUGGUUUUAUUCAGACCAGGGUCUGUACUGACCCCGAGCUGGACUGGGUGGUUUUAUU
rnacentral:lncRNA from 1 species